rnacentral:rRNA from 1 species
GACGAACGCUGGCGGCGUGCCUAAUACAUGCAAGUAGAACGCACAGUUUAUACCGUAGCUUGCUACACCAUAGACUGUGAGUUGCGAACGGGUGAGUAACGCGUAGGUAACCUGCCUGGUAGCGGGGGAUAACUAUUGGAAACGAUAGCUAAUACCGCAUAAUAUUGAUUAUUGCAUGAUAAUUGAUUGAAAGAUGCUAUUGCAUCACUACCAGAUGGACCUGCGUUGUAUUAGCUAGUAGGUGAGGUAACGGCUCACCUAGGCGACGAUACAUAGCCGACCUGAGAGGGUGAUCGGCCACACUGGGACUGAGACACGGCCCAGACUCCUACGGGAGGCAGCAGUAGGGAAUCUUCGGCAAUGGACGAAAGUCUGACCGAGCAACGCCGCGUGAGUGAAGAAGGUUUUCGGAUCGUAAAGCUCUGUUGUAAGAGAAGAACGGGUGUGAGAGUGGAAAGUUCACACU